AGUGAACGCUGGCGGUAGGCCUAACACAUGCAAGUCGAACGGCAGCACAGUAAGAGCUUGCUCUUACGGGUGGCGAGUGGCGGACGGGUGAGGAAUACAUCGGAAUCUACUUUUUCGUGGGGGAUAACGUAGGGAAACUUACGCUAAUACCGCAUACGACCUACGGGUGAAAGCAGGGGAUCUUCGGACCUUGCGCGAUUGAAUGAGCCGAUGUCGGAUUAGCUAGUUGGCGGGGUAAAGGCCCACCAAGGCGACGAUCCGUAGCUGGUCUGAGAGGAUGAUCAGCCACACUGGAACUGAGACACGGUCCAGACUCCUACGGGAGGCAGCAGUGGGGAAUAUUGGACAAUGGGCGCAAGCCUGAUCCACCCAUACCGCGUGGGUGAAGAAGGCCUUCGGGUUGUAAAGCCCUUUUGUUGGGAAAGAAAAGCAGCAGGUUAAUACCCCGCUGUUCUGACGGUACCCAAAGAAUAAGCACCGGCUAACCUCGUG
rnacentral:rRNA from 1 species